ensembl:snoRNA
AGCCUUCUGUAACUCAUAAGAAACGAUGAUGAUUGGAUGUUUACAUGUAUGUGUGAAAUGUGCCACAAUGUCGGAACAUUACCCAUCUGACC